rnacentral:rRNA from 1 species
GAAGGGGGCGAGCGUUGUUCGGAAUUACUGGGCGUAAAGGGCGCGUAGGCGGUUUGACAAGUCAGGCGUGAAAUUCCCGGGCUCAACCUGGGGGCUGCGCUUGAUACUGUUGAGCUUGAAUGCAGGAGAGGAUGGUGGAAUUCCCAGUGUAGAGGUGAAAUUCGUAGAUAUUGGGAAGAACACCGGUGGCGAAGGCGGCCAUCUGGCCUGUGAUUGACGCUGAGGCGCGAAAGCGUGGGGAGCAAACAGGAUUAGAUACCCUGGUAGUCCACGCCGUAAACGAUGAGUGCUAGACGUUGGCGAGCAUGCUCGUCAGUGUCGCAGCUAACGCAUUAAGCACUCCGCCUGGGGAGUACGGCCGCAAGGUUAAA